UACGUAGGGGGCAAGCGUUGUCCGGAAUCAUUGGGCGUAAAGAGCGUGUAGGCGGUCCUGUAAGUCGGGUGUGAAAUCUCGGGGCUUAACUCCGAAACUGCAUUCGAUACUGCCGUGCUUGAGGACUGGAGAGGAGACUGGAAUUUACGGUGUAGCGGUGAAAUGCGUAGAUAUCUGGAGGAACACCGGUGGCGAAGGCGGCAUCCUGGACCGACACUGACGCUGAGGAGCGAAAGCCAGGGGAGCAAACGGG
rnacentral:rRNA from 1 species